GGCAUACUGUGCAAAAAAACUCUACUAAUAUUUAUUUGUUUAGUUAUGUUAAUGGACUGUAACUGCUGAAACGUAAAAAACGAUUGCCUUUGCAAUCAACAUGAUUUUAUUGAUUGUUCCAAUAUCACUGCACAUUAACAAAUCAAGAGAUGGAUUGUAUAGAUACCAUUUGUUGUGUAAUGAAUUAAUAUGUAUCAGAUAAAAUAUUGCUCAGAUAAAAGGACAAGCGUAGAGGCAUAAGAGUAUAAAACAUAAAAAGGAAUAAUUUGCAGUCAGUCCAUCACUAGAAGUCUUUUUUGAAAAGUUGUUCCAAAGUCUGUUUAGAUUUCUGAUAACC